ensembl:lncRNA
ACUGAGAUGAAAGAGAUGGACCGUCAUUGGCACAUUUGUGAAGAAACCUGUUUCACCUGAAAACAGUGCUUCCCAGAGAAACCCAAAGUUCCAGCCUCGAGCUUGGUGUGGGAGUAUGGUUGCCCUGUUACCAAAAAGGGAAAGUCCAUGGUAUUCGUUCUCUGUGGGAAAAACCGCAUGCCCUACAUUGUUUGAUCAUAAAGACAUACUUUAACAGAAGGAGUGCUCCUCCAAGUUUUAACUUUGCUUUUUCUGCCCAUAGACUGGAAUUAAGAUGAGCUUUUGGUAGCAUCUUGCUACCAGGAGAUGAGCUUUGCAAACCAAACAGACUUGAUGCCAUCGCUCCUAGUGACCUCCAGUUAUGGGUACUUUCUGAGCCCUGUAUGAACUCCAGGAGAGUACAGGUGAGCCCUUCAUCUGAGUUGACCUGUAGAGACCACUUUCUGUGGUGGCUGCAUACAUGCCCCUUACCUCCUGCUGUCUCUGCGAUUACUGAUGCUCCAGGAAAGCAGUGGUGUCCUGGACAUUCUUUUGCACCAGGCAUGAGGAGACAUAGAGUGGAACAAAGAGUGAUCAAACAGCAAAUUCUUUUAGCAAUGCCUGUAAUGAGAAGAAUGAAAAAGAAAAGUUUCCUAAGACGUUGACGUGCCAUCUUACCCUCUUCUAAGAAUGGACAGCUACCCUGUUGUUGUGAACCAAAUUGCUAAGGCUUAAAUUCUGCAUCUCAGCAGCCAAAAUGUGUGGCUAAUAAAUCCCGAACGCUGACAAAGGGUGCGUAGGAUCGGGAAUCUCAGCCCACAGGAUGAACUGGGAAGUGGAAGGUGGAGAUGAUGGCUGAAGUCUGCCAAGAUUCAGAGGAGCACAGCAGCGUGCCAGACCCUCUCUGGAUGUGAGCACUGCGAGAAGAUGGAUCAGAUGAAUAUCUCACAGUUGGUGGAUGAGAUCCCUAGAACUACGAUGGAGCGUUCAAGUUAUUACAAAAAAGACAUGAGUUGACAGAUGCAGCGUGGAAAAAAAAUAACAGCAUAAUCCCAGAAUAUCACCUACAGAAUCAGUUCUUCCUUCCUCCUCAUCUUUGAUGACUGCCUUCUUUGGACGACACAGUGAGCUGCCUGAUUUUGUCACAUCUAUGUGAAGAGCAUUUCCCUAGAGUGCAAUGUGAGCCCAGUUCUUUGCUCUGCUGCAACAUAUCCUAAGAGAAAAAAAGAUAGAAGAAUGAAAACAAGCUGGAAAGAGACAAAUUCCAUCUCAAUACCUGUUUUUCCUCAGCAGAAUUAGAACUGCAUAUUAGCACAGAUUUAUGCUACUGGAACUAAUGGAGUGCCACUCCUAGUCAUGUGUCGUCAUCCUCUGAGUGAAACACUCCCAGAAGAGGGUUGCUGAUGAGCACUGGUGAGAAACAUGAACUGAGGCUUUGCUUCUUGACUGGUGGGACAGGUAAUCAGGUAGAUGAAUACUCCAGACAUAAGUUCAUCUGCUGUGUCUCCUCCAGCUUCUGACCAUCUGUGUUCUUUGCCUUCCCCACUUCAUCUCAGACCCGGUCUCCUCAUGUAGCAAGUCACAGUGGAUCCUAGUUUCUGAUGUCACAAUCCAGUUGUCUCUUUGCUCACUCCUAGCGUGAAAUCUUUUGCUCCCAGUCUUUUUGGUUGGACCAUCCCACCUCCCCAGUCUUUCCUCCAAGCCUCAUUCCUCAUCCAGCAGUUCUGAGAUACAGCAUAUCUGUCUGAGAUUUUCUUUGUGAUGUAUUUGAGCAACUCCCUCCUCUGCAGCCUGGAUUCCAACAGUGGGGCUGCUCACACCCAAGGGACAGCAGCCCUGAGCUUUGUGCUUAGAUGCCUAGGCCUCUUAUGGCUCAUGGUAGCAAAUACCUAUUCACAGUAAAUGGAACAUUUGCAAAAGUUUGCUGUUAAAGCCAUCUUUGUUAAACAUGCAAUAUGCCUUCCUGUACACUUAUUUAAUGAGCAUAAAACCAGCACAUCCCUGACAGAAAUGCUAUCUUUUGUCAGUUUUAAAGUCCUAGCACCAAAGUCGAGAGAUCUAGGUUUUGUCAAAGUAGUCACCGGAAUGCUUAAGCAUAGCAUAUUUUCCCCCACGGCCUGUCAGACAUGUCAGAUAUGUCUGAAUUGUUUUGCACUAGCUCCCCUGAGAAUAUGUGUCAAACAGCAAGUCCUGAAUUAUACAGUUUUGUAUUUUUUAGAUAGGACAAUAGAGUAGAUACAUUUAAUCUUCUAAAAAAAAGCAUACCAGUAUCGUUAAUGACCACUAUACAAACUUCUGUUCUAUAGAGAGGAUAAGAAAUGUACUUGCAAACAAGAAAAAUGAGAUCCUGCUGUUCCAAGGUUUAUGCUCUGCAUAGUUCAAGGUUACCAGUGUACAGCUCUGCUUCUAACAAAGCAUCUUCCCAUUCUCUGCAGUCAGUGCACCAUGGCUCUUAUGUACUGUGCAGUUAUUGAUAUGAAAGAUGGACAGGCCUGACCAGGGAGAAGGAGGAAUCCAGGCGGCCUCAUACCUCCAGUUGUGUUGGCUAAAUCCUGAACAAUGCCGGGAAUGGGACUAGGGUUUCACUGUCACAGUCUCCCCACAGCAGUGUUUCUGCUUUUCUUUCCCUAUCUUGCUCCCUUUUCCACCUAUACUUCCUUUUAUUUUCUAUCUAAGAAGAGUCUGCUUGAGAUGUUAAAACUCCGACGUUUAGAGAGCUGCCUUGAGCCUCCUAAAAGACAGCCUGUGUUAGAGACAGCUGGGCACUACUACAAUUUCCGUGUUUCCAUGUGACCAACAGACAGCUGGCUGUGCUUGUGGUUUUCUAGCAAUGAACUUGCUAUUUAGAGCCAACACUAGAACAAGGAGAUAAGUUCCCUUCCCUUACAGCUCUUAAACCUUUUAGUUUGUAGGUCUGUCUGUUAUGGGAAGGACUAGACGUUGACAGCAUCUCCAGCAGCAGUUCCAGCCCAUUUCAGUAGACUUAAUAACUCUGUUUUCCAAAGCAGCAACACAAAGCAGUAGAUUUUCUUACUGUCUGUUAAACAAUGGUGUUUUCUAGAUGUUUUUAAAUUGAAACCCUUAAUGUUUGCAUUCCAAAUGUUUCUAUUCUUUGUUGUCGGUGUUUUGUUUUGUUUUGUUUUGUUUUCCUUUUCUAUUUUUAUUAAAGGGUUCAGAAGAUUGGUGUGGUUCACAUGAACCACAUUGUGGUUCACAUCAUAUUCAUAGGAAUAAACAAACAAAGAUUUAUGCAUCUGAAACCCCAAACGCUAUCCCAAAUCAUGUUUAGCAAUACAGUUUUGUACAGUGAUGCUUUAAUACAGUUGCUUUAAUACAACUGACCCUCUGUUUAUUUUACUGAAAUUUGACUCAGCAAAGUUAAAUCCCCCUGUAUCAUGCUUCAAGACAACUCAUUUUAUGUCUGGAUACAAACCCAAUCACCUCAUAAGCCAUGUAAUCAACACCUGCCUUAAUGUGCCUGUUAGCGCUAGUGCAGUUGAGUGGAAAAACAAAUUGCAAUGACUUUAGAGAAAUGCACUUAAUUUCUAGAGGAUGCUUGGUGAGUAUCAGAACAAUAGAGGGUGUAUUACCUACUAUAUCUACCAGCACUGCAUUUCCUUGGCGUAGGUAAUAUUAUUCAAUAAGAAAAUGGCAGCCUUCUGCCAUUGCGUUAAUUCUUGAAUGGGUACCAUGAAGUGAGCCAUCUCUUUGGCAUGUUUUAACUUAAUUUGAAAGAAACUGUUGUGUGAUGAUGAGUUCUGAAGCAAAAUCUAAAACAUGCUACUUUUCAGUUUGAAAGGUUUCGCUGUGUGAUUGCAAAUAUGAAAUUUACAGAGAUUAAUAUUAUUCUCCUGUUACUUCAUAUUCUCCAGUCAACAUGGUUUACUUUUCUGUCUUGCUAUGUACUCUUUUAUGCAGCUUUUGGUGUGUCUUUAUUUUAUUCCUACAUAAUUCAAAUAAAAGAAUCC